UACGGAGGGAGCUAGCGUUGUUCGGAAUUACUGGGCGUAAAGCGCGCGUAGGCGGCUUUGUAAGUUAGAGGUGAAAGCCCGGGGCUCAACUCCGGAACUGCCUUUAAGACUGCAUCGCUUGAAUCCGGGAGAGGUGAGUGGAAUUCCGAGUGUAGAGGUGAAAUUCGUAGAUAUUCGGAAGAACACCAGUGGCGAAGGCGGCUCACUGGCCCGAUACUGACGCUGAGGCACGAAAGCGUGGGGAGCAAACAGG
rnacentral:rRNA from 1 species